GGGGUUGUGGCUCAGAGGCAGAGCACUUGCCUAGCAUGUGUGAGGCUCUGAGUUCGAUUCUCAGCACCACA
rnacentral:tRNA from 1 species